UCCUGGUUAACCCAGGCAGUCUCAUUAGAGUUCCCACCUUCACGUGUUGGCAAAUAAUGAUAAGGGUUGCGCUCGUUGCGGGACUUAACCCAACACCUCACGGCACGAGCUGACGACAGCCAUGCAGCACCUGUGCACAGGUCCCGAAGGAACACAGCAUUUCUGCUGCUGUCCUGUGCAUGUCAAGCCUGGGUAAGGUUCUUCGCGUUGCAUCGAAUUAAACCACAUGCUCCACUGCUUGUGCGGGUCCCCGUCAAUUCUUUUGAGUUUCAGCCUUGCGACUGUACUCCCCAGGCGGUAUACUUAUCGCGUUAGCUACGGCACAGCCAGGGUUGAUUCCAGCUACACCAAGUAUACAUAGUUUACGGCAAGGACUAC
rnacentral:misc_RNA from 1 species